CAUCAAAACCUCAACAUCUCCCCUAUUCAAUACUCUUCACGUUCCCCAUCAAAACCUCAACAUCUCCCCUAUUCAAUUAACCUCUUCAACAUCUUCCCUAAUCAAUAAAAUGCACAUUCCUAGGGAAAGAAUCCCUCAUGCGUGCGGCCCUGCACCUUCAAGAAGCCGGCAAAAUUCAAUUCGUCUUCUCCAUAUAAACCAUCUCCCAAUCAUAUUAUUCUUCAUCAUCUCCCAUAUUCAAUUAACCUCUUCAACAUCUAUUUCAAGCAUUCCUACACCCUUGCCACUUCCAUAGGAUUAGGGUUAGGAGAAUUUCACGUUCUCUUCUUCAGACUUCCUUCUCUCUCUCUCUAAAAAAAAACUCAAGAGCGACAAUCGGCUUUCAUCGUCUUUCUCAUGCGAGCUCUUUUCGUACCUUAUCCGAUUUGGUUCACCGAUGAUGAACACCGCCCUCUUUUGAUUUCUUCUUCUCACCAUGAAACGGUGGCCGAGAUCUUUUUGAAUCUUCAAAAUAGGGUGAGAUCUUUUUGAUUUUUCUGUUUUUUCUUUAAUCUCUCUUCUUCUCUCUCAACGAUUCUGAAGGGUUUUUGUGAUAGGAAAAUGAUGAACAAAGUUUCAAGGUUUUUUUGUAUGAAUGUACCUAUGGCAUUUUUGAUGAAUUGAAUACUGUGUUCUUUUUCUUUCUUCACAUAAUUUCUGGAAAAUUUAUGUUGAUGAGGAAGAUAACGAUGGAAUUUUUUUAGGGUUUGAUUGUUCUCUGCGGCUGAUGUUUCUGAAGAGUGAUCUCUGCCUUGGGAAUUGUGUAUUGAAUGCUUAUAUAUGUUGAUUUAAUUAGGGUUUUCUCAUUUUGUUUGCAGGCCUAUUCUGAAAUUCUCUAUUGGGCUUUUGCAACCUCUGAUUUUCUGUUCUUAAUGAACCGUGAUUUUGUUAUGAUGUAACUACGAUGAAAAUCUUUUACCGAGCUUCUGAUAUAGUGAAGAUUUACCUUCUUUGAGUUGAUCUCUUCAUGUUGGUUCUUGCUUCACGAUGAUUGUCAAUGUUAGAUCUGAAGGGUUGUUGUUACUUUUAUUUGAAUAAGGGUUUCAGUAGAUGCCUUUGAGAAGAAGUAGACGUCGACUUUAGAGGUCGAGUAUAUGAAUAUUCAAAAAGAUAGAGACAAAGCCAUUGAGAAGCUCAUAGAAUGAGGU